UGGGGGAUAUUGCACAAUGGAGGAAACUCUGAUGCAGCGACGCCGCGUGAGUGAAGAAGUAUUUCGGUAUGUAAAGCUCUAUCAGCAGGGAAGAUAAUGACAGUACCUGACUAAGAAGCCCCGGCUAACUACGUGCCAGCAGCCGCGGUAAUACGUAGGGGGCGAGCGUUAUCCGGAUUCAUUGGGCGUAAAGCGCGCGUAGGCGGCUCGCCAAGCGGGAUCUCAAACCUGAGGGCUCAACCCCCAGCAGGAUUCCGGACUGGCGGGCUCGAGUUCGGUAGGGGAAGGCGGAACUCCCAGUGUA
rnacentral:rRNA from 1 species